rnacentral:rRNA from 1 species
AGUGAACGCUGGCGGUAGGCCUAACACAUGCAAGUCGAACGGCAGCACAGUAAGAGCUUGCUCUUACGGGUGGCGAGUGGCGGACGGGUGAGGAAUACAUCGGAAUCUACUUUUUCGUGGGGGAUAACGUAGGGAAACUUACGCUAAUACCGCAUACGACCUACGGGUGAAAGCAGGGGAUCUUCGGACCUUGCGCGAUUGAAUGAGCCGAUGUCGGAUUAGCUAGUUGGCGGGGUAAAGGCCCACCAAGGCGACGAUCCGUAGCUGGUCUGAGAGGAUGUUGACGCACACAGGAAGGGAGAGACGGGCCAAAGCCUCAGGGGGGGCGCAGGGGGGGAGAAUAGGGCACAGGGGGCAACCGUGUGCCGGAGCGACGCCGGGGGGGAAAAGGGCCUGGGGGUGUUGAGACCCUUUUUUGGGAAAGAAAAAGGCGCGGGUUAUUUCCCCGUGGUUUGACGGUAGCCGAAGAAAAAGCCCCGGGUAACUUCGUG